AUACGGAGGGGGCUAGCGUUGUUCGGAAUCACUGGGCGUAAAGCGCUCGUAGGCGGAUCAGUCAGUCAGAGGUGAACUCCCAAGGCUCAACCUUGGAACUGCCUUUGAUACUGCUGGUCUCGAGGUCGAGAGAGGUAAGUGGAAUUCCUAGUGUAGAGGUGAAAUUCGUAGAUAUUAGGAAGAACACCAGUGGCGAAGGCGGCUUACUGGCUCGAUUCUGACGCUGAGGAGCGAAAGCGUGGGGAGCAAACAGGAUUAGAAACCCCAGUAGUCC
rnacentral:rRNA from 1 species